UCGCACGAGAAAGUUCUUCGGAAUGAGUAAAGUGGCGCACGGGUGAGUAAUACGUAGGAACAUGCCUUAAUCUGGGGAAUAACUGCGGGAAACUGCAGCUAAUACCGCAUAUACUCGAGAGAGAAAAGGUGGCCUCUGCUUGCAAGCUACCGGAUUAAGAUUGGCCUACGUCCCAUUAGCUAGUUGGCGGGGUAAUAGCCCACCAAGGCGACGAUGGGUAGCUGGUCUGAGAGGACGAUCAGCCACACUGGAACUGAGACACGGUCCAGACUCC
rnacentral:rRNA from 1 species